rnacentral:rRNA from 1 species
GACGAACGCUGGCGGCGUGCUUAACACAUGCAAGUCGAGCGGUAAGGCCCUUUCGGGGUACGACGAGCGGCGAACGGGUAGAGUAACACGUGGGUGACCUGCCCUCAGCUCUGGGAUAAGCCUGGGAAACCGGGUACUAAUACCGGAUAUGACUCCAUGACGCAUGUUGUGGGGUGGAAAGCCUUGUGCGGCUGAGGAUGGGCCCGCGGCCUAUCAGCUUGUUGGUGGGGUGAUGGCCUACCAAGGCGACGACGGGUAGCCGGCCUGAGAGGGCGACCGGCCACACUGGGACUGAGACACGGCCCAGACUCCUACGGGAGGCAGCAGUGGGGAAUCUUGCGCAAUGGGCGAAAGCCUGACGCAGCGACGCCGCGUGAGGGAUGACGGCCU